rnacentral:rRNA from 1 species
ACGGGAGGCAGCAGUAGGGAAUCUUCCACAAUGGGCGCAAGCCUGAUGGAGCAACACCGCGUGAGUGAAGAAGGGUUUCGGCUCGUAAAGCUCUGUUGUUAGAGAAGAACGUGCGUGAGAGCAACUGUUCACGCAGUGACGGUAUCUAACCAGAAAGUCACGGCUAACUACGUGCCAGCAGCCGCGGUAAUACGUAGGUGGCAAGCGUUAUCCGGAUUUAUUGGGCGUAAAGCGAGCGCAGGCGGUUUGAUAAGUCUGAUGUGAAAGCCUUUGGCUUAACCAAAGAAGUGCAUCGGAAACUGUCAGACUUGAGUGCAGAAGAGGACAGUGGAACUCCAUGUGUAGCGGUGGAAUGCGUAGAUAUAUGGAAGAACACCAGUGGCGAAGGCGGCUGUCUGGUCUGCAACUGACGCUGAGGCUCGAAAGCAUGGGUAGCGAACAGGAUUAGAUACCCUGGUA